rnacentral:rRNA from 1 species
UCAGUAGCACGUGGCUAACCUACCCUUGGGACGGGGACACCCCCGGGAAACUGGGGCUAAUUUCCGAUAGGUGAAGAACUCUGGAAUGGGUUUUCGCCUAAAGGGCGCUUAGAUCAUGCUUCUAGGCGUUGCCCAAGGAUGGGGCCGCGGCCGAUCAGGUUGUUGGUGAGGUAAUGGCUCACCAAGCCUUUUACCGGUGCGGGCCGUGGGAGCGGUAGCCCGGAGAUGGGCACUGAGACAAGGGCCCAGGUCCUACGGGGCGCAGCAGUUACGAAAAUUCCGCAAUAAGCGAAAGCUUGACGGAGCCAUCCCGAGUGCCGUCCGCUGAGGAUGGCUUUUACCUAGUGUAGAUAUCUGGGGGAAUAAGGAGAGGGCAAGUCUGGUGUCAGCCGCCGCGGUAAUACCAGCUCUCCGAGUGGUGUGGAUGAUUACUGGGCCUAAAGCAUCCGUAGCUGGCUGAACAAGUCCCCUGUUAAAUCCAACGAUUCAAUCGUUGGCGUGCGGGGGAUACUGUUCGGCUAGGGGGCGAGAGAGGCCGUCGGUAUUCUCGGGGUAGGGGUAAAAUCCUAUAAUCCCGGGAAGACCACCAGUGGCGAAGGCUGUCGGCUAGAACGCGCUCGACGGUGAGGGAUGAAAGCUGGGGGAGCGAAUCGGAUUAGAUACCCGAGUAGUCCCAGCUGUAAACGAUGCAGGCUAGGUGUUAGGGCGGCUACGUGCCGCUCUGGUGCCAGCAGGGAAGCUGUUAAGCCUGCCGCCUGGGGAGUACGGGUCGCAAGGCCUGAAACUUAA